AAAUGUUUACGAUUCAAAACAUAUGAUCCAUAAGAACAACAUUGUUAUUAGUCAAUAUUUGAGUCACGAAGGAAGAUCCAAAUCUAUCUUAGAUCGGGAAGUUCAGGUACUAAGGACUAAGUCGAUACCGAUAGUAAGGGACCUAUGAAUAUAUCAUGGUCAAGAAUAGACUACGGUCUAACAAGAAAGUGAAGUACUCAGAGUUGUUUUCUGCGGUACAAAUUUCGGGACGAAAUUUCUUUUAAGGGGGAUAGUAUGUAAUGACCCGACUUUUUAUUAAGGAUUAUAUACUUUUAAAUUACUGAUUUAAGGAUUGAUUAUGGUAAUUAGGGAUCAGCAUCCAUUAAUAAAAUACGAACUUAUAUGAAUUUGAUAAUUUAUAUAUGUGAUGAUUUAUUUUUUUUAUUUUCAAUAGAUGAUGCACUCAAAAUAUAUUUUGAGUCCAUUAAUUUAUUGUGGAGAAUUUAACACUGAAGUGUUAAAUAUGAAUCUUUUAUCGAUUGUUUACUUAAGCCCAUGAGUAAUUUAAUUUAUGUUAGAGGCAAGCUCAAGUGAAUUUUAUGCUUCAAUGAGAAUUAGGCUUAUAUAUCUUAAUGUGUUUAUAUGAGAUUAAGCACAUAUGGUUCUCAUUCAUCCACAUCCCUCUCAUUCUUCUAUUAAACCAAUCACCAAUACGUUCACAAUUUUCUUCACCUACUACUUCACAAUUUUCUUCACCAAUACGUUCACAAUUUUCUUCACCUACUACUUCACAAUUUUCUUCACCAAUACGUUCACAAUUUUCUUCACCUACUACUUCACAAUUUUCUUCACCUCUAAAGUCAAUCUCCAAAUAGAAUUUUGCUUCUUUAAAACCUAUUCCACUAUCUCAAUUCACCCAUUCCCACCUCUGCAGCAAGUUUUAUAAAGUAAUAGAGUGAAGAUUAUUCAUCUCAUUCAAUUCUUCUUCACAAUUGGCUUCUAAUCUAUGCCAUAUAUAAAAUCUGCAGAGACUAAUACCAUACACCUAUUCAAGGUUCAAAUAAACAAAAGCGUCUGAGUAACCUAUCGCGCUAAGGAAAGAGAAUCGUUGUCUUAAGUAGCAAAACACUGCAAUCAGGUGGGCAUUACUUUUACUAUACGUAUAUAGAGAUCCCCUGCGUGUCGUAGGCCUCUUAUACGAAUGAAUGCAUGAGAUGAUUUAACUGUUAAUUUCAGUUUUAUAUAUCUAUCAAACGAAUUUAAUGUUACAUUUAAACAAGAUAUUUCAUUACAAAAUCAUUGAACUGAAAAUUAUUUCAAUUGUUGUCUUGCCAUAAAUGUUUAAAUUUUAGUAUGAUAUCUAUCUGCUUUGGCUUUGCCAAUGAUGCAAUCGAAUUCGGGUCCUGAGCAGUUGAUAGCUAUCCUGCCAGGACUAGUGUACACCAGUGACCGUGAGUCAUCUAGCGGGUUGGCCGGUCAAGUGACCGUGAGAGGUGGCCACCUCUCCGGCACACAGUUCCAGAUAUGAUAGAUUACAAGAGAACUUAGUCUGCAGACGAACUUUAAGAAUCACAAAUGAACUUAGUAAGCUUGGGCCUUUUUAGCGAAAAACUCCCUUGCUGUACUGUUUAUGAUGGCAUGACAAUUUACAGUUUUGAAGCAUGUAUUUUUAUACCUAGGCAUACGUGCCCACUGAGUGCUUUUGUACUCAGCCCUGCAUAUGUUUUCUAAAUGUGCAGGUUGAGCUGAUGUGAUGAUGGUGCUGCAAUGAGCGGAGUCUCCAAGGUUGUUAAUAAAUAGUUAACCUGUCUAGAAUAUGUCUUCAUACAUAUGUCUAGCUACUUUCCGCUGCAAGAUGUUGUUGAUGUUAUAGUAUGUUAUGUCAUACUUUGAGUCUUAAGAGAAUGGUUUCAUAUGAUGUAUAACUUGAUUAAUGAUAUUAAUUAAGUUUUAUGCUGUCUUUCA